CGCUGGCGGCAUGCCUAACACAUGCAAGUCGAACGAACCCUUCGGGGUUAGUGGCGCACGGGUGCGUAACGCGUGGGAAUCUGCCCUUUGCUUCGGAAUAACUCAGGGAAACUUGUGCUAAUACCGGAUGAUGUCGAAAGACCAAAGAUUUAUCGGCAAGGGAUGAGCCCGCGUAGGAUUAGGUAGUUGGUGGGGUAAAGGCCUACCAAGCCGACGAUCCUUAGCUGGUCUGAGAGGAUGAUCAGCCACACUGGGACUGAGACACGGCCCAGACUCCUACGGGAGGCAGCAGUGGGGAAUAUUGGACAAUGGGCGAAAGCCUGAUCCAGCAAUGCCGCGUGAGUGAUGAAGGCCUUAGGGUCGUAAAGCUCUUUUACCAGGGAUGAUAAUGACAGUACCUGGAGAAUAAGCUCCGGCUAACUCCGUGCCAGCAGCCGCGGUAAUACGGAGGGAGCUAGCGUUGUUCGGAAUUACUGGGCGUAAAGCGUACGUAGGCGGUUAUUCAAGUCAGAGGUGAAAGCCCGGGGCUCAACCCCGGAACGGCCUUUGAAACUAGGUAGCUAGAAUCUUGGAGAGGUCAGUGGAAUUCCGAGUGUAGAGGUGAAAUUCGUAGAUAUUCGGAAGAACACCAGUGGCGAAGCGGACUGACUGGACAAGUAUUGACGCUGAGUACGAAAGCGUGGGGAGCAAACAGGAUUAGAUACCUGGUAGUCCACGCCGUAAACGAUGAUAACUAGCNUGUCCGGCACUUGNGCCUGGGUGGCGCAGCUACCGCAUUAAGUUAUUCCGCCUGGGGAGUACGUCC
rnacentral:rRNA from 1 species